rnacentral:rRNA from 1 species
AACGAACGCUGGCGGCAUGCCUAACACAUGCAAGUCGAACGCGUGUAGCAAUACACGAGUGGCGGACGGGUGAGUAACGCGUGGGAACCUGCCCAAUGGUAGGGAAUAACUGCGGGAAACUGCAGCUAAUACCCUAUGCUCCCUACGGGGAAGAUUUAUCGCCAUUGAGGGGCCCGCGUCGGAUUAGCUAGUUGGCGGGGUAACGGCCCACCAAGGCUACGAUCCGUAGCUGGUCNGAGAGGAUGAUCAGCCACACUGGACUGAGAUACGGCCCAGACUCCUACGGGA